UCUCCAUCCCCGGAUGCUUGUCUAAAAGCCACCAAAUUAGACUAUAUAAGCCACAUUUAUUGUCAAAUAAAUAACAAACAGAAAAUUCUGUUCUUUAUGAGUGUUAAACAAGAGGUAUCCAAUCAAUGUGCUAGUGACUGCCAAAGGAGCAAUUACAGAUCAAGCCCUAACUGAUGAAACGCAACAAAUUGACAAAUUUAAUAUUUCUAAUAGGCAUUUCUCAAGUCAUUCCUGAUAGGGCGCAGUAAGAAUCAGCAAAGGACCUAAUUUCAAACCAUAAUUUCAUAAUGCCAGACCAUCAUAGCACAACUAUCCGAGGAGUUCAAAAAUCAGGUAUCAAAAUCCAAAACCCACAUCAAAAUCAGAAAUUCAUUUCCAUAUCUUCAAAAAACACAUGAUACGAAAAUUUCUAAUAAUAGAUUAC
rnacentral:misc_RNA from 1 species